UUUCACUCAUUUUUCAUGUUGCCUAAGUGUUGUCUUGCUUCUUCCUCCUCGCACGUCUCUAGUCUUUCACUCUUCUUCUGGUGUCCCUUUUCUUUCGUCCAAGCUUUGUGUUCUCUGGUGCUUAUGCUCACGUCGUUGUUCUAAAGGUUGUUAGCUUGUUUGUUCCACCUUAAACUUUCAGGGUACCACUUUUUCGCAUCACUUCCUUUCCUCUUCUGUUUAUUUACUUGAAAGUUGUGUGUUAUUAGAGGGGGAGUAGGGUCUAGUUAUUCUCGUGCUCAUGAUGGGUCCCUAGGGUUGCCCCAUUCGGGGCUCCUAGAUAAGGGGAAACAUAAGGGUAAUGGCGAGGGUAAGGGUAAAAAAAGAAAGUAAGGUGGGAAUAAUAGAAAGGAUUCAAAUCCCUUGAUUUCUAUCCCUAGGUAUGAGUGGGUGAGGGGUGACUUUGUUAAGUUUGAGAGUAGGUUUACAUCUAUACCUGUGGCCAACUUACUUCGAUGUUAGUUGGCGAUUUUUUCUUCUUCUAUUGCUAACCUCAUCAAGGUCGAGUCGUGCCAAUUUAAUGAGUGUGUUCAUUUCGGGUCCACCUUCAUCCCUAUUUCUCUUCAUGUACCAAUGUUUAUUUAGAGACAUUGGUGUCUCUGUCCCCUUCACCUCUUUUGAGUAUGCCUUUCUUAAACACAUUAAUGUGGCCCCUUGUUAGCUUCACUCAAAUAGUUUGGGUUUCCUCCAAGCUUUUCAGGUCCUAUGCUCAAUUUUUGGGGUAAUGAUCUCUUUGGCUAAACUUAUGCAUUUCUAUCAGUUAAAAAUCGGGAUCCACCUCUUGGAUGGGUCUCUUAGAGUGGUAGUUCCAAGGGGGGCUUUUCCAACUCUUUUCCCAGUUGUAUAAAAAUUUCAAGGAAGUGCUUUUUAAGAUCUGGCCUAUUUGUACUAACCUUCCGUCCAAGCACCUCUUUCAUCUUGGCGAGGACCUGAGGUUCCCCUUUUACUAGCAGCAAGAUCCUCUGGAGUUUACCAAUUUCGAUGAUCUUGUAUUGACUAUUGUUGACGAGGAGGACAUAGACAAGUUGCAAUCAUUGCCUUAGCCUUUAGAGAGUAAAGGCAUCCUUUCUUUUUAUAGCUCGAAGAAUAAGGAGAAGAGUCUAGAAAUAAGUGGCGCGAGCUGAAAACUAAGUUCAACACCGAGGAGUAGGAGAUCCUUGAUGUUGAGGAGGAUCAAAGCAGUCUUUGUCCUCGACAUAAAUGGAAUAAGAAGUCUCCUGAGACUGAUUAGGGCUUGACUUUUGGGGUUUCCGCUUUGCAUGAGGCCAUAGACCUCACCUCUAGCCCCCAAGUUCUGCUAAGCUCGUCUCCCGAUCCCUCCAUUGAAGGUGAUCAUCUAGAAGUGCCACCAGUUAUGCCUCACGUUCAAGAGGUUGUUACUCCAAUUUCAUCUGAUGCAGUUGUGGUCGUUGAGGCUGACCCAAAGGGUCCCUCUUUCUCUAUUCCUCCACCAAGUGCUAGUAUCAAGUCUUCCUUUUAGUCACGAUGUAUAUUUCAGAGGUUCGACACGAGUCGUCCUCUAGCUAGGUUGGACCAUGUGAGCAUGUCCCUUAACGUGACUUCAUUGUGGAAUCGUAAUCUCACUGUCGAAAGCUUUUACCGAGAGGAUCCUACCUUUAUUGAUGAUAAGGUCAUAAUCGAGAAGGUUGGCCUAAUAGAGGGGCUGGAUUUUGUCAAGUUUUUUAUGCAGAGGUUCAAUUCUAUUGUGGUUCACUAGAAGUGGAAGUGGAAGAAGAAUGUGAUAGAGCUUGAAAAGGCCAAGAAGAACAAGGCAGUGAUGGUAGAGGUGAAGAAUGACCUAGAAAAGACCAAGAAGUCUUUCUUUGUUAUGACCAAGGCGAAUAAGGCCUAUGUUGCUAAGGUCAGAGAUCUGCUUGGAAAGGUGAAAGCUGUAGAGCUGGAAGUUGAGGGUUCCAGGUCUCAAGCUCGUUCCUAUGAGGAGUAGGUGAGAGCCUUGGAGGAGAAGUUGAAGGCUAUCGAGGAGAGGCAUAAGAGCAAUCAAGAUCUUCUUUAUGUUAAAGCCAAGGAGACCGUUGACCUGAAGAUGGAAUCUGAGGUAUUGAGCACGACAAAGAAAGGUGUGGCUAAAGAGCUUUAGGACACUCAACUCCAAAUUAUGAUUGAGCAUAAGAGGGGUUUCUUCAAAGCCAUUCGUCAGAUGAAGGUGGUGGCUCUUGGGAUCUACAUCUCGGCUUUGGACAUUGACAAAGACGUCCGAUAAGGCAAGUUGAAGUUGGUGAAUGAGGAUGACCUAUUUGAUAGUGGCUCUUGGGAUCUACAUCUCGGCUUUGGACAUUGACAAAGACGUCCGAUAAGGCAAGUUGAAGUUGGUGAAUGAGGAUGACCUAUUUGAUAGCACAAGCAAAUAAAGUUUCUACAUAUUUCUCUAUUUAUUUUUUAUAGGCUUUUUUCUUUUGUGCUUGUUUUGUCUUUUGUCCUUUUUUCUGCUUUUUUGUCUAAGUUGUGUAGCCUUUAUCGAAUUAUUUUAUAAUGAAUACUUUAUCA